GGAACGAUACAGAGAAGAUUAGCAUG
rnacentral:piRNA from 5 species